UUUUUUUUUUUUUUUUUUGGUGACAAGGUUGGCCCUGAGCUAGCAUCUGUUGCCAGUCUUCCUCUUUUUGCUGAGAAAGAUUGGCCCUGAACUAACACCUGUGCCCAUCUUCCUCUAUUUUGUAUUGUUUUGUUUUGUUUUCAAAGAUUGGCACCUGAGCUAACAUCUGUUGCCAAUCUUUUUUUUUUCUUCUUCUCCCUAAAGCCCCCCAGUACAUAGUUGUAUAUUCUAGUUGCAGGUCCUUCUAGUUAUGCUAUGUAGGAUGCCACCUCAGUAUGGCCUGAUGAGCAGUGCUAGGUCCCCACCCAGGAUCCGAACCAGUGAAACCCUGGACCGCCAAAGCGGAGCAAGUAAACUUAACCACUCAACCAUGGGUCUGUCCCCUCUUCCUCUAUUUUGUAUGUGGGACGCUACCACAGCAUUGCUUGCCAGGUGGCGCAUAGGUCCGCACUGAGGAUCUGAACCUGUGAACCCCAGGCCGCUGAAGCAGAGUGUGCAGACUUAAUCACUACACCACUGGGCCGGCCCCAUUAACUUCACUUUUCAGCAAAGCUAUUCUUCUGCUUCAAAAAGAGAGAAAUCAACAGUACUGGAUCUUCACUGUCACUCUAAUAGUCACAAUUCUGGACAAUGAUUUUGUUUUUACUUUAUUAGCUUUAUAUUGGUUAAAAUAAAGUUAGCAGAAAAAAUAAGUCAGUAGUAUUCACAUGGUAUUAAAUUGUAAAAUUCUAGCUCAUCUCUAACUCCUGCUCUUUUUACUCUUACAUUUUACGUUAAAUUUUCCACCAAAUGAAUCCAAUGGAAUAAUAAUUGAAUUUGUUUAAACAGAAGUAGGUCAAAGUCACUCUGAAAACAAAAACAAAGAUGCUGCUCACAUAGGCUGAUGCAGAACAUCACAGACAUUCAUUUCUAAGCCUAGAUUUUAAGGAUCAGAAUGAAAUAAGCCUCUAUAUACUUUCUAGGGCUGUAGUUAAUGCUUGAAUGGUCAGUGCACUUGCAGGGCUUGUGGUUUCCCAGGUCACGUACAGUUCCAAACUCAAGUCUAGGCUCUCUUCCCUCUGCUAACCCAUGGGGAAGUGUGCUGUCAAAAAUCAAUCACUUCAGUAACUCUGUAAUGUGCUCAGUAGUUGUAAUUUUUACUAUAAAAUUCCUCCAGUCCUGCCAAAACUUCAAAACAAAUAUAACACUUCAUGCGGUGGAUCUCAGAUACAGUAGACUCUUCUGGUUGUAUCAUUCCCAGAUAAUGGUACAUUAUUCUGGCCUUAAAUACAACCAUGACCUCAUGAUAGCUUUCUGGGAUGUCUUGGUCACUUUCACAACUGAGAGGGGUGUCAGAUCUCUAGGACCACUUGCUUUAGUUCCUUAUUAUUCUUUCUUUUAGUUUGAUUGUGAAGUUUUACACAUAGUGUUUCUUUCCAAUCAGGUACUAAGAGUGUAGACAUUUCUCCCUUGGACCACUCUGUGGUUUUCUCCAAAAAUGGUACAAAGACUUUGUCCAUCACAUUUGAAAAGUGAGCAAACUUAGAUCGCCCUACUGGGUUCCACUCGGCUUCACAUUUGAUUACAACACUAUUCCUGUUUUCAGCUCUUGCUUCCCCUGCCCCUUUCAUCAAGGUUGCUGAUAUCAUAAAUCUGCAGCUCCACCCACUAACUUUCUGGGUCAAUCAACAUUCAAACCACAGUAUGGAGUUCACCAACAAUCUUCGUCCACCACCAAGCGGGGUCAAGAAUUAGUCUCUCUCUGCCACGCAUUUCACACUGAGCCUAGAAAAGCUCUAGGUAUCUGUAGAACCACUCAUUUGCCAUCUAUCCCAACCCACUGUGACAUUACUGCAGUCAUCAGUUUCUAUGCAUAGCACUCCAAUAUCCUCCUAGCCCUGCAGCCCUGCCAUAAACUCCAAGUUACUUGACAGGAUUCUGACACACAGCCUAGCUCUCGCCUGUCCCUUCCUCUGGAGGGCUGGACCUUGUUCACUGAACCGAUAGCUACUUCUCAGACCCCAGCUAGAAAUGAACUGAUUUCACUGAAAUAUGCCACAGUAGUAUGUCUCAUAUAAAUUCCAGUUGGUAGACUAAAACUCCUUAUAUGUUAGAAAUGAAAAGUUACUCUAACCAAGCCCAAGUUAAAGACAAUCUCUGAACACUGUAAUCUAGACACUGUACUCUAGGCUACCCACUGCAGUAAUCAGCUUUCUAGCUAUUGAGUUCUCCAAUCCCCCAUUCUCCAGAGUGCUAAGCCUCUUCAGCAGUAUCCAGCCUAGUUCUGAGAUCCGAUCACACUUCACUCUCAAGCCCUUCAGAAACAUGGUGUUAAAAAAAGACAACUGGCCCAAAAUGGAGUCACUUAUAUUAAGCCUCGCAUCACUAAACUAAGAUUUAACUUAAUUACAGUUUCAGCUCUCCCAGAAAUGGACUUUCAAACCAGUCAAUCAGGAAUCUCCCGAUGAGCACUAGUUAGGCAAUCUGCCUGAUAGACCUGCCAUCCCCUAAGGAAAGUAACCUUGUAAUAAACAACCCAGUUUUCUGCCCAGCCUAAUUUCCCUGUUCCUGCUCCUUUCUGCCUACAGAAGUCUUUCAUUUUGUACAGCUCCUCAGAGCUCCUUUCCAUCGACUAGUUUGGAUGCUGCCCAAUUUGAAUUGACUUUUGCUCAAAUAAACUCAAAGAUUUUUCAUAUGACUCAGUUUAUCUUCUAACAAUAGCAAUAUGAGAUGCAGCCUCUAGCCUCAAGAUGGGACAUGACACACGCUUUAAAACAAACAGAAAGUACAAUACGUGGUUGCCAUUCCUGCUACUUUAGGCUCUGCUGACCAAGAGGCUUACCACCCAGGGGAGGAAUACUUUUCCUAGGGGACACAAAUAUGCUUCUAUUGAACUAGAAGUUGAAAAAACCACUUGGCUACUUUGAGCUUCCCCUGGUAUUGGGAUAAACAGUGAAAAUGAAUAAAGAGGUUGCAUUUUUGGCUGAUCCUGACUCUGGGGAAAUCGGGCGACUGUGAUACAACGGUAAUAUGUGAAGAACAUGAAUGGAAAGCAGAGGAGCCCUUUGAAUACUAUUCAUAGCGAAAAACAUGAUAGCCAACCCCAGCAACUCCAAAUAAGCACUACCACCAGGGGUUAGACCCUUAAGGAAUCAAGGGUCCUAAGCAAAGUGAAGGAAAUAUUAGAUGAGUAGUAGAAAGAAGAGAUGAUGUGAUCCAGCAUUGUGUCUACUUAUGUUCUUUUCCUUGCUCUGUCAGGCUUACAUUUAUAUAUUUCAACUAAAUUUCUUUUAUACAGAGUGUGUUGGCAAUAACUCUUCAAUUUACUCCAUAGGUUAUAGAACAUGGACACGUGAUCGUGAGAGAACCAGAGGAAUGCUGGGCAUUUCCCAGAGAUCUUGAACUAGGAGCUGCAUGCAUGAAUUGAUGCAGCUCUGGGUUUCCUCAUUUUGGGGAAAAGGUAAUUGUGCUUUGGUUGUCAAGGGUUAUUUUUAGUAUGAUAGGCAAGAAUCAACGUUUGUAAAUGAAAAUCUGUAUAAAGGAUAUCCAAAGGGGUGGACUGCAUAAAAUGUUGUCAUAUUUUUCAGCCACUAUGUAUUUGGACCUGCUUCUUAUCUGGGGGGAAUUCUCAACUGUAAAUAAGUUUUUGGAAUAAGUGGGCCCCGCUGACUAGGAUGACGACAAUGGGACUGAGUACUGUUCAGUUC
ensembl:lncRNA